rnacentral:rRNA from 1 species
GAUUAUUGAAAGGUGCUUGCAUCUUGAUUUAAUUUUGAACGAGUGGCGGACGGGUGAGUAACACGUGGGUAACCUGCCCUUAAGUGGGGGAUAACAUUUGGAAACAGAUGCUAAUACCGCAUAAAUCCAAGAACCGCAUGGUUCUUGGCUGAAAGAUGGCGUAAGCUAUCGCUUUUGGAUGGACCCGCGGCGUAUUAGCUAGUUGGUGAGGUAACGGCUCACCAAGGCAAUGAUACGUAGCCGAACUGAGAGGUUGAUCGGCCACAUUGGGACUGAGACACGGCCCAAACUCCUACGGGAGGCAGCAGUAGGGAAUCUUCCACAAUGGACGCAAGUCUGAUGGAGCAACGCCGCGUGAGUGAAGAAGGCUUUCGGGUCGUAAAACUCUGUUGUUGGAGAAGAAUGGUCGGCAGAGUAACUGUUGUCGGCGUGACGGUAUCCAACCAGAAAGCCACGGCUAACUACGUGCCAGCAGCCGCGGUAAUACGUAGGUGGCAAGCGUUAUCCGGAUUUAUUGGGCGUAAAGCGAGCGCAGGCGGUUUUUUAAGUCUGAUGUGAAAGCCCUCGGCUUAACCGAGGAAGUGCAUCGGAAACUGGGAAACUUGAGUGCAGAAGAGGACAGUGGAACUCCAUGUGUAGCGGUGAAAUGCGUAGAUAUAUGGAAGAACACCAGUGGCGAAGGCGGCUGUCUGGUCUGUAACUGACGCUGAGGCUCGAAAGCAUGGGUAGCGAACAGGAUUAGAUACCCUGGUAGUCCAUGCCGUAAACGAUGAAUGCUAGGUGUUGGAGGGUUUCCGCCCUUCAGUGCCGCAGCUAACGCAUUAAGCAUUCCGCCUGGGGAGUACGACCGCAAGGUUGAAACUCAAAGGAAUUGACGGGGGCCCGCACAAGCGGUGGAGCAUGUGGUUUAAUUCGAAGCAACGCGAAGAACCUUACCAGGUCUUGACAUCUUUUGAUCACCUGAGAGAUCAGGUUUCC